GUUCAUGCUGCUGCCUGGCAGGCAGCACACACUUUCUCCCCACCCAUCACCUGGGGUAUGACAGCUGUCACAACUCUCUUUAACAGGGCAUGGAUCCCAUCGCAAAACAGCUGCUCCCAAGAAAAGGAAGACAGCUGAGGAGCUGGUAUGUUACAAGUAAAUGAAGAUAUGAACUUUGUACAGCAGCAAAUUAUCUUCAUCCUGUUCAGCAGCACAAGCUUCAGUGAUUACAUAUUUCAGAGGCCAUUGACUGAAGAGCUCUUACAGCCCUUUCCCCUUGUGAAUGGAUGUUUAUCCUCCUUCUACAAAGGACCCAGGGACAAA